rnacentral:tRNA from 1 species
UCUAAAAUGGCAGACCAUUGCAUAGGACUUAAACUCCUAAUAGGAAAUCUUUUUCUUUUAGAA